GGAAAACCCGUUUUACAGCUCAGUCACACGACGAACCUUAGAGUAAAAGCACGCGUCCUUUAGAACCCAAGCCGAAUAAAACGCGUGUACAAAAAUAGAAAUACUGCACUCACGUUCAACGAUUACAUAAAGUGGCAACAUCAUCAUUUAUAACACAUCGACAGCAACACAACACAAAACACCAAAACGGAAACAACAAUUGAAUCAAACUGAAAGUAAACAACAAUUUAAGGAACAUUUUUAAAGACGCAUCACAAAAUGUAAAGCAAUAAUCAGCACAAAAGCCAGCAAAAGCUUACAGUAGAAGUAGAAGAAGCACCACCACCGCUUGGCUCGCUCAGAUUGCCGGAAGGGAGGAGAGCGCUGGGUAGGAGCAAAGGAGUGGAUUGGAUUUAGGCAGCAGCAGUGGCAGCAGCAGCAGUCGCAGCAGCGAUGCCAAAUGCCAUUAUUGGAAACUGUCGUAGUCAUAAGAUUUGCAUACUAUAGCAAUAGUAGUAGCAUCAUGAAAAGCACAAGCGUGAUAAGCACUACAACAACAGCCACAACAAAAUCCAAAACUGAAUCUGUAAGAGCAACAACAAUCAUAGGAGAAAUAACAAAAUGGUUAACAAAGGGAACGGUGACAAUAUUAACGGUAAACGAAGCGAUCCGCAUGCAUGAAAAGUGAGAGUGAGAUAGUGAGAAGAUAUACAUACAUAUGUGUGUAUGUAUGCAUUGAAAGAAGAGCUUUGAGAGGAAGAGAGACAUGCAGCUGCGCUGAGGAUA